rnacentral:lncRNA from 1 species
AAAAAUGGAGAAAAAAUAUUUUUUUAAGAUUUGAAAUAAGCAGUAGAAGAUCUCAAGUCAUACAAUUGAUAACAGGUAAGAUCUCUAUUCAAAAAUAUGUAAAAAAAAAUUCAUGAAACAUUUUUUUCUGAAAAAUAUGUUUUUGAAUUCAUUCUUGAAUUUGUAUAUGUUUUCUGAAUUCGAAUAACUAUUACAAUUAUGAAUUCAUUCUGAUUGUUGGAUUUUUAUAUUUUUGAUUACUGAGUGUAUUAUAAAAUUAAUUUGUAUUUUUCCUCACAAAUCAUUAAAUGUUUGAAAAUCUUAUUAGAGUAGAUGUUGAUAAUAAAAAUGACCAAAUUGAUGCAGGUCCUAUUGAACAGAUUGAAGUAAUUGCUAUAAAUGAGUACUUUUGAAGCAAAUUUUUCAGGACCAAAUCAUAAUAAAGUUUUGAUUGGUCAGGUGUAUACGAAGAAAGCUAUUUUGAAGUCAGUAAUGACGUAGUACUCAAUCAGACACAAAUUCCAAUUCAAUACGAUAAAGUCAAAUGUAAACGGAUAAGUAAAAUUUAUUUAAAAUCGUGUAGGUCAGCGUAUUUACAUAAGUAUGUAAUUUUCUACAUGUUUGUCUACUUGUACAAGUAUAUGUAUGUUUGUAUAUUUGUAUAAGUUUUCUUAAUGUUUGGAUAUUUGUAUAUGUGAUUGUAUUUGUAUUUGUAUAAUUAUAUGAUUUGAAAGUAUUAAAUGCAUA